GAUGAACGCUGGCGGCGUGCCUAAUACAUGCAAGUCGAGCGAACGGACGCGAAGCUUGUUUCUCUGAUGUUAGCGGCGCACGUGUGAGUCACACGUGGAUAACCUCCCUAUCAUACUGGUAUCACUUCGGGAAACCGGCGCUUAUCCCGGAUAAUCUUUUGAACCGCAUGGUUCAAAAGUGAAAGACGGUGUUGCUGUCACUUAUAGCUGCAUCCCGGCUGCUUUAGCUGGUUGGUAAGGUAACGGCUUACCAAGGCAAGGAUGCGUAGCCGACCGGACAGGGUGAUCGGCCACACUGGAACUGAGACACGGUCCAGACUCCUACGGGAGGCAGCAGUAGGGAAUCUUCCGCAAUGGGCGAAAGCCUGACGGAGCAACGCCGCGUGAGUGAUGAAGGUCUUCGGAUCGUAAAACUCUGUUAUGGGGGAAGAACAUAUGUGUAAGUAACUGUGCACAUCUUGACGGUACCUAAUCAGAAAGCCACGGCUAACUACGUG
rnacentral:rRNA from 1 species